rnacentral:rRNA from 1 species
GUCCCUCUGGACAACACUUUCCUGGGCUCUCGGGUUCGCCCGUAUUACUUUGAGUAAAUGAGAGUGUUCAAAGCAGGCUACGCCUGAAUCUGUUAGCAUGGAAUAAUAAAUACGACGAUGUCCUAUUUUGUUGGUUUCUAGGACCAUCGUAAUGACUAAUAGGGACGGUCGGGGGCAUCCGUAUUUGGUGGCCAGAGUGAAAUCUUGGACUCCCCAAAGACGAACUACUGCGAAAGCAUUUGCCAAGGACGUUUUCAUUAAUCAAGAACGAAAGUUAGGGGAUCGAAGAUGAUCAGAUACCGUCGUAGUCUUAACCAUAAACUAUGCCGACUAGGGAUCGGGCGGCGUUCUCUAAGACGCGCUCGGCACCUUGCGAGAAAUCACAAGUUUUUGGGUUCUGGGGGGAGUAUGGUCGCAAGGCUGAAACUUAAAGGAAUUGACGGAAGGGCACCACCAGGAGUGGAGCCUGCGGCUUAAUUUGACUCAACACGGGGAAACUCACCAGGUCCAGACACAAUAAGGAUUGACAGAUUGAGAGCUCUUUCUUGAUUUUGUGGGUGGUGGUGCAUGGCCGUUCUUAGUUGGUGGAGUGAUUUGUCUGCUUAAUUGCGAUAACGAACGAGACCUUAACCCCUAAAUAGCGCCCGCAGCGCCAGCUGCGCGGGGCUUCUUCGGGGGACUAGCGA